rnacentral:rRNA from 1 species
UACGUAGGGGGCUAGCGUUGUCCGGAAUCAUUGGGCGUAAAGAGCGUGUAGGCGGCCCGGUAAGUCCGCUGUGAAAGUCGGGGGCUCAACCCUUGAAAGCCGGUUGAUACUGUCGGGCUAGAGUCCGGAAGAGGCGAGUGGAAUUCCCGGUGUAGCGGUGAAAUGCGCAGAUAUCGGGAGGAACACCAGUGGCGAAGGCGGUCCCCUGGGCCGGAACUGACGCUGAGGCGCGAAAGCGUGGGGAGCAAACAGG